AUCCAGCUGACGAGUCCCAAAUAGAACGAAACGCGUCAUGGAU
rnacentral:hammerhead_ribozyme from 1 species